GCCUUCGUGGUGUAACGGUAGCACACUCGGCGCGUAUUCGAGGGUCCAGGUUCGAGUCCCGGCUAGGGCA
rnacentral:tRNA from 1 species